CACAAACUGUAUUUUUUGUUGUUGUUGUUGUUGUUGUUGUUGUUCAGGUAACUUUCAGUGUGAUGAAACAGAACUGCUUUUGUUUUGUUUGGUUUGAUAAAACCUUCAAAAGGGAAGCAGUGAGAAAGUGGUUCCAAAGAGAAAUGUUUUCUUUUCUUAAGGGAUUAAUCAGAAGGCAGCCAAGCUGACCAGAGGCACAUUGCCCAUGGUGUGGACAGCAGGAGGUGGUGUCUGUAGCAGCUCAAAACCUGUUCACAAAGACAGAAUUUGGUCUCAGACAAGUGAAGAUUCCUGAUUUUCAUUUCUGAUAGCUCCAUUUCUGGAUUUAUUAAAACUUUAAGGUACUUUCCUUAAGUCUAUACUCCUUGAAGAUUUCCCAAAGAAAUGUCAAUAGCCACAUGUUCUCUUUUCUUUCAGGUUUUUGGGCCUGCAUCCUUUUAGCCUGGUCUGUAAUUUCUUUUGGGGGGUGGGGUUAAUGUUCAAAGGGCAUCUGUUUCGCCUCCUUAAAAACAUACCAAGGGAGAAGAACUACAGUAGUUUGACACAUCAGAUUCAAGACUUCUUGAAAACAAAUUCUGGCUACCAGGUUGAACUGCAAAUGAUAUACUUAGCAAUAAAGAAUAGCUGGAGAUCUUGGAGUCAGGUGAAUGAGAUGGCUUCUCAGCUCUUGACAUUUGCCACCUUAUCGAAGGCAGCAGGUGAGCAUCCCCAAGUUGUGUUGACCGAUGCUAUAUAUCACCAAGGAAAAGAGACCAAAAAUAGACUGUAGAACGAUGUCUUCAAAUGCUGUCUCUUGACCUUGUAUUUUGGGUGAAAGGAUUAAAGGAGUGAAGGUAAAAACAUAGACUGUUUUAAUGCCAAAAGUAAAAAUGCUGUGCUGAACUGCCUCUGAUGGUUAGAAAUGUGGC
rnacentral:lncRNA from 1 species